rnacentral:rRNA from 1 species
UACGGGAGGCAGCAGUGGGGAAUAUUGCACAAUGGGGGAAACCCUGAUGCAGCAACGCCGCGUGAGUGAAGAAGUAUUUCGGUAUGUAAAGCUCUAUCAGCAGGGAAGAAAAUGACGGUACCUGACUAAGAAGCCCCGGCUAACUACGUGCCAGCAGCCGCGGUAAU